UAACUUUAGUAACUGCGAGUGAAGAGGGAAAGCUCAAAUUUGUAAUCUGGCGGUCUUUGGCCGUCCGAGUUGUAAUCUGUAGAGGCAUUAUCUACAUCGGCCCGUGUACAAGUCUCCUGGAAUGGAGCGUCAUAGAGGGUGAGAAUCCCGUUCAUGGCAUGGAUUACCGAUGUUCUGUGAGGUGCCCUCGAAGAGUCGCGUUGUUUGGGAAUGCAGCGCAAAAUGGGUGGUAAAUUCCAUCUAAGGCUAAAUAUUGGCGAGAGACCGAUAGCGAACAAGUACCGUGAGGGAAAGAUGAAAAGCACUUUGAAAAGAGAGUUAAACAGUACGUGAAAUUGUUGAAAGGGAAACGCUUGAAGUCAGUCGCGUUCUAUGGCAUUCAGCCUCGCUUCGGCUUGGUGUACUUGCUUUGGAACGGGUCAACGUCAAUUUGGCUGGUGGAUAAGGAUAAGAGGAAUGUGGCGUUGUUUCGAYGACGUGUUAUAGCCUCUUGUUAAAUACAUCAGCUGGGAUUGAGGACUGCAGCACGCCCUUGUGGUCAGAGGUGUUCGCCUCAUGUAACGUGCUUAGGAUGUUGGCAUAAUGGCUUUAAGCGACCCGUCUUGAAACACGGACCAAGGAGUCUGACAUGCUAGCAAGUGUUUGGGUGAAAAACCCUUACGCGUAAUGAAAGUAAAAGCUUGAGAACCUCUGCAAGGAGGUGCAUCAGCGCCCGGCCCUGAUGUUUUCAGACGGUGCUGUGGUAGAGCAUGUAUGUUGGGACCCGAAAGAUGGUGAACUAUGCCCGAAUAGGGCGAAGCCAGAGGAAACUCUGGUGGAGGCUCGUAGCGAUUCUGACGUGCAAAUCGAUCGUCAAAUUUGGG
rnacentral:rRNA from 1 species